GAGAGUUAAACAGUACGUGAAAUUGUUGAAAGGGAAACGAUUGAAGUCAGUCAUGCCGGCGUUGGAUUCAGCUUGCUUCGCGGAGCGGGCGCAUUUCCUCGCAUGGCAGGUCAGCGUCGAUUUCGGAGGUUGUAAAAUACUUGGGGAAAAGUAGCUCUGCUUCGGGAGAGUAUUAUAGACCCUGGGGGAUGCAGCCUGCGGGAUCGAGGAUUGCAGCAAAUGCCUUUGGCUUGUCGCCUGAUCUCUGGAUGUUACCUCGCUUGUGACAACAUUCUUGCCACCUGUGGGUACUAAUGCCCAUUAGGUUAGAGCGAUCAAAAAUUUUGCUAAGGAUGCUGACGUAAUGGCUUUAAACGA
rnacentral:rRNA from 1 species